rnacentral:tRNA from 1 species
UCCCUGGUAGUCCAGUGGCUAAGACUCCUCACUCUCAAUGCAGGGGACCCAGGUUCAACCCCUGGUCAGGGAA